UAAAUACUCCCUCCGUUCCGAAUUACUUGUCUUGUAUUUGUCUAGAUACGGAUGUAUCUAGACUCAUUUUAGUGUUUGAUACAUCCGUAUCUAGACAAAUCUAAGACAAGUAAUUCGGAACGGAGGGAGUAUAAG
rnacentral:pre_miRNA from 1 species